rnacentral:rRNA from 1 species
AGAGUUUGAUCAUGGCUCAGGAUGAACGCUAGCUACAGGCUUAACACAUGCAAGUCGAGGGGAAACGACAUCGAAAGCUUGCUUUUGAUGGGCGUCGACCGGCGCACGGGUGAGUAACGCGUAUCCAACCUGCCCAUCACUUGGGGAUAACCUUGCGAAAGUAAGACUAAUACCCAAUGACGUCUCUAGAAGACAUCUGAAAGAGAUUAAAGAUUUAUCGGUGAUGGAUGGGGAUGCGUCUGAUUAGCUUGUUGGCGGGGUAACGGCCACAAGGCGACGAUCAGUAGGGGUUCUGACGAGGAAGGUCCCCCANAUUGGAACUGAGACACGGUCCAAACUCCUACGGGAGCA